rnacentral:rRNA from 1 species
GACGAACGCUGGCGGCGUGCCUAAUACAUGCAAGUCGAGCGAACGGACGAGAAGCUUGCUUCUCUGAUGUUAGCGGCGGACGGGUGAGUAACACGUGGAUAACCUACCUAUAAGACUGGGAUAACUUCGGGAAACCGGAGCUAAUACCGGAUAAUAUUUUGAACCGCAUGGUUCAAAAGUGAAAGACGGUCUUGCUGUCACUUAUAGAUGGAUCCGCGCUGCAUUAGCUAGUUGGUAGGGUAACGGCUUACCAAGGCAACGAUGCAUAGCCGACCUGAGAGGGUGAUCGGCCACACUGGAACUGAGACACGGUCCAGACUCCUACGGGAGGCAGCAGUAGGGAAUCUUCCGCAAUGGGCGAAAGCCUGACGGAGCAACGCCGCGUGAGUGAUGAAGGUCUUCGGAUCGUAAAACUCUGUUAUUAGGGAAGAACAUAUGUGUAAGUAACUGUGCACAUCUUGACGGUACCUAAUCAGAAAGCCACGGCUAACUACGUG